rfam:Lucilia cuprina strain LS Scaffold287, whole genome shotgun sequence.
GUUUUUCUCCUGGUAUCCACUGUAGGCCUAUAUGUAUUUUGAUCAUAAGGCACGCGGUGAAUGCCAAGAGCGAACGG